rnacentral:rRNA from 1 species
GACAACAAUAACUUUCCUUUAGGUUAAAGAUUAAAUUACUUGGAAGCUAAGCAGGGGCAGGCCUGGUUAGUUCUUGGAUGGGAGACCACCUAGGAAGACCAGGUGCUAUAGGCG